AGUCGGCUGGGGAGAAAGGGGUUUGUUUGGCAUGGUGCAAAAAUGUCUCUCCUUUCUCCUUCUAG
rnacentral:miRNA from 1 species